rnacentral:piRNA from 1 species
UAGGAGGUUCACAAAGGUGAGAAGAAAGUC